UUGAUCCUGGCUCACCAUGAACGCUGGCGGUCUGCUUAACACAUGCAAGUCGAACGCAACCUUCGGGUUGAGUGGCGGACGGGUGAGUAACGCGUGAGAAUCUGCCUUGGGGUCGGGGACAACCACUGGAAACGGUGGCUAAUACCGGAUAAGCCUUUGGGUAAAAAAUUUAUUGCCCCAAGAGGAGCUCGCGUCUGAUUAGCUAGUUGGUGAGGUAAAAGCUCACCAAGGCAGCGAUCAGUAGCUGGUCUGAGAGGACGAUCAGCCACACUGGGACUGAGACACGGCCCAGACUCCUACGGGAGGCAGCAGUGGGGAAUUUUCCGCAAUGGGCGAAAGCCUGACGGAGCAAGACCGCGUGAGGGAGGAAGGCUCUUGGGUUGUAAACCUCUUUUCUCAGGGAAGAAGCUCUGACGGUACCUGAGGAAUCAGCCUCGGCUAACUCCGUGCCAGCAGCCGCGGUAAUACGGAGGAGGCAAGCGUUAUCCGGAAUUAUUGGGCGUAAAGCGUCCGCAGGUGGCGAUUCAAGUCUGCUGUCAAAGCACGGGGCUUAACUCCGUUAAGGCAGUGGAAACUGAAUAGCUAGAGUGCCGUAGGGGUAGAGGGAAUUCCCGGUGUAGCGGUGAAAUGCGUAGAGAUCGGGAAGAACAUCGGUGGCGAAAGCGCUCUACUGGACGGCAACUGACACUCAGGGACGAAAGCUAGGGGAGCGAAUGGGAUUAGAUACCCCAGUAGUCCUAGCUGUAAACGAUGGAUACUAGGUGUAGCUUGUAUCGACCCGAGCUGUGCCGAAGCUAACGCGUUAAGUAUCCCGCCUGGGGAGUACGCACGCAAGUGUGAAACUCAAAGGAAUUGACGGGGGCCCGCACAAGCGGUGGAGUAUGUGGUUUAAUUCGAUGCAACGCGAAGAACCUUACCAGGGCUUGACAUGUCCGGAAUCCCGGUGAAAGCCGGGAGUGCCUUCCGGAGCCGGACACAGGUGGUGCAUGGCUGUCGUCAGCUCGUGUCGUGAGAUG
rnacentral:rRNA from 1 species